rnacentral:lncRNA from 1 species
GUUCUUAACCAAUCGAGUGAAGGAUUCAAAAUUAACCACUCCAAGAGAGGAUUGAAAAAGAACUACUCUCUGGACAAAAAGAAAGAAAGGGGAGGGGGUAACACAGGGAUAUAAGCCUUAGCCACCCGAGCCAGCAAUAGCAACCCUUCCAAGUCCCCUUCCACCAUGUGGAAGCUUUCCUUUCACUUUGUUCAAUAAACUGUUCUGCUGCUCACUCUCCUGGUCUGUGGACUCUUUUUGAGCUGUAACAUACACCGCGAAGUUCCGUAGCUUCAUUCUCCGAAGUUAGUGAGACCACGAACCCAUCAGCAGGAAAAACUCCUAACUCAUCAAGGGGGCUUGCCUGGGAUUUCCAAAGUGAAUCAAUGAAACUACAAAUGGUACUGCAGAUGGAACCUCAGAUGACUUCAACCAGCACCUAUUAUCAAGGACCUCUAGACCAGCCUGCCAGCCCAUACCCGGACGUUGACACCCAAACCACCUCUCAUGAGGAAACCUCAGGUGCAGGGCCCCUUCUACACCCCUAUUCAGCAGGAAGCAGUUAGAGUGGUCAUUGUCCCACACCCCAACAGCAGUUGGGCUCCCCUGUUGAGAGGGAGGACUGAGGGGUGGAAUUGGCGGGACUUCCUGGGCCAGUUUGGGGACUUUUGCAAAAGACCCUUGUGACUCAGGUUUUGAGUUCUUAACCAAUCGAGUGAAGGAUUCAAAAUUAAUCCCUCCAAGGGAGGAUUGAAAAAGAACCACUCUCUGGACAAAAAGAAAGGGGAGGGGGUAACACAGGGAUAUAAGCCCUAGCCACCCAAGCCAGCAACAGCAACCCUUCCAGGUCCCCUUCCACUGUGUAGAAGCUUUCCUUUCACUUUGUUCAAUAAACUGUGCUGCUGCUCAC